rnacentral:rRNA from 1 species
UACGUAGGGUGCAAGCGUUGUCCGGAAUUAUUGGGCGUAAAGGGCUCGUAGGCGGUUUGUCACGUCGGGAGUGAAAACUCAGGGCUCAACCCUGAGCCUGCUUCCGAUACGGGCAGACUAGAGGUAUGCAGGGGAGAACGGGAAUUCCUGGUGUAGCGGUGAAAUGCGCAGAUAUCAGGAGGAACACCGGUGGCGAAGGCGGUUCUCUGGGCAUUACCUGACGCUGAGGAGCGAAAGUGUGGGGAGCGAACAGG